rnacentral:rRNA from 1 species
CGGACGGGUGAGUAACGCGUGGAUAACCUGCCUCACACUGGGGGAUAACAGUUAGAAACGACUGCUAAUACCGCAUGAGCGCACAGUACCGCAUGGUACGGUGUGAAAAACUCCGGUGGUGUGAGAUGGAUCCGCGUCUGAUUAGCCAGUUGGCGGGGUAACGGCCCACCAAAGCGACGAUCAGUAGCCGACCUGAGAGGGUGACCGGCCACAUUGGGACUGAGACACGGCCCAA